rnacentral:rRNA from 1 species
AGCAGCCGCGGUAAUUCCAGCUCCAAUAGCGUAUAUUAAAGUUGUUGCAGUUAAAAAGCUCGUAGUUGAAUUUCGGGGUCAGUAGGUCGGUCGUGCCACUGGUAUGAACUGGUUUUACUGAUUCCUCCCUCUUGAAGAACUGUAAUGCCAUUAAUUUGGUGUUGCAGGGAAUCAGGACUGUUACUUUAGAAAAAAUUAGAGUGUUUAAAGCAGGCUUUAGCUUGAAUACAUUAGCAUGGAAUAAUGAAAUAGGACGUUUGAUCCUAUUUUGUUGGUUUCUAGGAUUGACGUAAUGAUUAAUAGGGAUAGUUGGGGGCAUUAGUAUUCAAUUGUCAGAGGUGAAAUUCUUGGAUUUAUUGAAGACUAACUACUGCGAAAGCAUUUGCCAAGGAUGUUUUCAUUAAUCAAAGAACGAAAGUUAGGGAUCGAAGCGAUCAGAUCCGUGUAGUCUUAACAUAAACUAUCGACCGACGUAGGGAUUACGGAUAGGAUUAGGUUUUAAAUUUUUUUAANGUACUUC